rnacentral:rRNA from 1 species
GCUAACUCCGGGCCACGUGGCGGUGUAAUACGGAGGGUGCAUGUGUUAUCCGGUUUUAUUGGGUUUAAAGGGGCCGUAGGCGGAUAUAUAAUUCAGUGGGAAAAGCCGACAGCUUAACUGAUGAACUGUCGGGGAAACUGUAGGUCUUGAGUAAAUUUGAAGUGGCUGGAAUAAGUAGUGUAGCGGUGAAAUGCAUAGAUAUUACUUAGAACACCAAUUGCGAAGGCAGGUCACUAAGAUUUAACUGACGCUGAUGGACGAAAGCGUGGGGAGCGAACAGGAUUAGAUACCCCAGUCGUC